rnacentral:rRNA from 1 species
GACCCGACUGCUAUUUGGGUGAGGAUAAGCCAUGCGAGUUGGAUGGGAUACCUAAACUUCCCAUAGCAAACUGCUUAGUAACACAUGAUCAACUUGCCCUAUGGAGAAAAAUAACCUCGGGAAACUGAGGAUAAUGUUUCAUAGUUGAAUAGGCUUGGAAAAGUUUUUCAAUGAAAGGAAUAAGAUAAAUGGAUCUUAUUUGCCAUAGGAUAGGAUCGUGGUCGAUUAUGGUAGUUGGUGAGAUAACGGCUCACCAAGCCAAUAAUCGAUAGGGGCCGUGAGAGCGGGAGCCCCAAGAUGGGUACUGAGACAGCGACCCAGGCCUUACGAGGCGCAGCAGGCGCGAGACCUCCGCAAUACACGAAAGUGUGACGGGGUUACCCAAAGUGUUCUCUUAAGAACUGUGGCAGGUUAGUAAUGUCCCCUGCUAGAAAGGAGAGGGCAAGGCUGGUGCCAGCCGCCGCGGUAAAACCAGCUCUUCAAGUGGUCGGGAUAAUUAUUGGGCUUAAAGUGUCCGUAGCCGGUUUAGUAAGUUCCUGGUAAAAUCGGGUAGCUUAACUAUCUGCAUGCUAGGAAUACUGCUAUACUAGAGGGCGGGAGAGGUCUGAGGUACUACAGGGGUAGGGGUGAAAUCUUAUAAUCCUUGUAGGACCACCAGUGGCGAAGGCGUCAGACUGGAACGCGCCUGA